AGAGUUUGAUCAUGGCUCAGGACGAACGCUGGCGGCGCGCUUAACACAUGCAAGUCGAGCGAGAACCAGUCCUUCGGGACUGGGGACAGCGGCGAACGGGUGAGUAACACGUGAGUAAUCCACCCUUGGUACCGGGAUAGCUCGGGGAAACUCGAAUUAAUACCGGAUGGCCCAUCAGCUUUUCGGAGCGGAUGGAAAAGGUAGCUUCGGCCUCCGACCAAGGACGAGCUCGCGGCGGAUUAGCUUGUUGGCGGGGUAAAGGCCCACCAAGGCGACGAUCCGUAGCUGGUCUGAGAGGACGAUCAGCCACACUGGGACUGAGACACGGCCCAGACUCCUACGGGAGGCAGCAGUGGGGAAUCUUGCGCAAUGGGCGAAAGCCUGACGCAGCGACGCCGCGUGAGGGAAGAAGGCCUUCGGGUUGUAAACCUCUUUCAGGAGGGACGAAGCCACUCGGGUUAAUAGCCCAGAGGGUGACGGUACCUCCAGAAGAAGCCCCGGCUAACUACGUGCCAGCAGCCGCGGUAAUACGUAGGGGGCAAGCGUUGUCCGGAUUUAUUGGGCGUAAAGAGCGUGUAGGCGGUUUUACAGGUCCGCUGUGAAAACUCGAGGCUCAACCCCGAGCUGUCGGUGGAAACCGUAAGGCUAGAGUCCGGAAGAGGAGAGUGGAAUUCCCGGUGUAGCGGUGAAAUGCGCAGAUAUCGGGAAGAACACCCGUGGCGAAGGCGGCUCUCUGGGACGGUACUGACGCUGAGACGCGAAAGCGUGGGGAGCGAACAGGAUUAGAUACCCUAGUAGUCC
rnacentral:rRNA from 1 species